UGAACGCUGGCGGCGUGCCUAAUACAUGCAAAUCGAGCGAACAGACGAGGAGCUUGCUCCUCUGACGUUAGCGGCGGACGGGUGAGUAACACGUGGAUAACCUACCUAUAAGACUGGGAUAACUUCGGGAAACCGGAGCUAAUACCGGAUAAUAUAUUGAACCGCAUGGUUCAAUAGUGAAAGACGGUUUUGCUGUCACUUAUAGAUGGAUCCGCGCCGCAUUAGCUAGUUGGUAAGGUAACGGCUUACCAAGGCAACGAUGCGUAGCCGACCUGAGAGGGUGAUCGGCCACACUGGAACUGAGACACGGUCCAGACUCCUACGGGAGGCAGCAGUAGGGAAUCUUCCGCAAUGGGCGAAAGCUUGACGGAGCAACGCCGCGUGAGUGAUGAAGGUCUUCGGAUCGUAAAACUCUGUUAUUAGGGAAGAACAAAUGUGUAAGUAACUAUGCACGUCUUGACGGUACCUAAUCAGAAAGCCACGGCUAACUACGUG
rnacentral:rRNA from 1 species